UGUUUUGGUAAAUAUUUUAGUGGCCGGUUUAAGGAUGCCAUUAUCUAUGCAUGUUUACUGCCCACAAAACUGGGUCAGCGCUUCUCACAGCAAGGGUCGGACCAGUUCCCUUGGUAACCGUGACAUCUGAUACUAGGGAUGGUCAAGCUGCCUGCAGAUGUUACAUUCUUAUCAGGGACCUUGUCUGAGCUGUUCAAAUGGUUGUACACAGUACAGUGCUAUUUCGACUUACACAGAAGAAGAUAUUUGGAUUAAUCACGAAGAAGAAAGAGAGCAUUUCUUUGAUCAAAAGACAAUCUACAAUAAGGAAGAACCGCCUGUGUGCGACAGCAACAGAUUCGGAAAUUGCAGCAAUUCAAUGCAAAAGAUUGGUUCAGAUUUGCUUGUGAUCGCGAUGGUGGCAGGAAAAGGAGAGAGGAACAAAAAAGGGCACAACAGGCAGCUACUGCAACUAUCAAUGCUGUGAUCAUAUACAAAUAAAUUGUAAAGCACUUGCCAA